CCCUUAGAUGCUCUGGGCCGCACGCGCGCUACACUGGUCGAUGCAACGAGUUUCUUUCCUUGGCCGACAGGCCUGGGCAAUCUUUGAACAUCGAUCGUGAUCGGGAUAGAUUCUUGUAAUUUUUGAUCUUAAACGAGGAAUUCCUAGUAAACGCAAGUCAUCAGCUUGCAUUGAUUACAUCCCUGCCCUUUGUACACACCGCCCGUCGCACCUACCGAUUGAAUGGUCCGGUGAAAUCUCCGGACUGGCGUGAGUCGGAGCAAUCUGACAAACACCGGAAAGUUGAUUAAACCUUACCAUUUAGAGGAAGGUGAAGUCGUAACA
rnacentral:rRNA from 1 species